UCCAACCCCUGUGAACAUACCACUUGUUGCCUCGGCGGAUCAGCCCGCUCCCGGUAAAACGGGACGGCCCGCCAGAGGACCCCUAAACUCUGUUUCUAUAUGUAACUUCUGAGUAAAACCAUAAAUAAAUCAAAACUUUCAACAACGGAUCUCUUGGUUCUGGCAUCGAUGAAGAACGCAGCAAAAUGCGAUAAGUAAUGUGAAUUGCAGAAUUCAGUGAAUCAUCGAAUCUUUGAACGCACAUUGCGCCCGCCAGUAUUCUGGCGGGCAUGCCUGUUCGAGCGUCAUUUCAACCCUCAAGCACAGCUUGGUGUUGGGACUCGCGUUAAUUCGCGUUCCUCAAAUUGAUUGGCGGUCACGUCGAGCUUCCAUAGCGUAGUAGUAAAACCCUCGUUACUGGUAAUCGUCGCGGCCACGCCGUUAAACCCCAACUUCUGAAUGUUGACCUCGGAUCAGGUAGGAAUACCCGCUGAACUUAAGCAUAUCUA
rnacentral:rRNA from 1 species